GAAGUGCAGCUACUGUAGCUUGCAGUCUUUCUAGCUAAAAUUGGAAGUGAUUGUGUUGGCUAGCUCCUCUGAACAAGUGUCCUGACGAGUGAGCACAUUUUCUAUGCCAAGCGAAAUCGUGCCUCAUUAGCUCAUUGUUAUGGAUUAAUCCAAAUACAUGUCACUAGAAAACAGCUAAAACAAAUGCAGCUACUGUUGUUAUUCUGUCUGCACUGUUUGAGGUGACUGUAAAUUAACUGUAGUUGGCUAGCUAGCAAGCAAGGGAUAAGAACGUUGCCAGUAUGACAAUAGAACAUUUAGAAUGAACGACUGUGUCGCGUCCGUAGAUACAGAACAAAAGGACCGAACCAAUAGAUCGAACGUUGCUUGGGUAGCAACCCUAGAUUGGUCUCGGGACUAUAUCUUGUUGAUAAAUUAAUAAAAAUAACGUUUUGAAUGAAAAUAUGUAAAUCAUUAUUUUAAUAUGUUGGUAACCCGUUGUAUAAAAGUGAUAAUGCCCUCCACUCCAGUGUUUGAAAUAUAUAUUUGCACGAUUUGCCGGUGUUGUGCCGGAAAUCCACCCCUGCCAAAAUUCCCCCUCCAUUGGCGUGAACGCCCAUACACUAAAUUGUUCAUUGCUGCUACUUGCUGAGAAGCCCCUGACUGCAGGGUGCAGUUCUCGGCCGGGCUCAAUGUGGGCGGAGUCAAACGGUUUAAACCAAAACCUUCGAGGUCACGCAAGUUGAGGUAAAGUCAAUGGUGUCAACGAAAGCGAAUCUCAAUCGAACCUAACCUACAUGGGUAGCACUAUAAACCAUGGAAGGCCUACCAAAGUAAGGUUUCUCAAACAACUGUGAGAUGUUUGUUUUGAUGAUGAUACUGAAAACAAAAUGCACGGCGAACUGGGAGCUGUGAACUGGGAAGCAGAUGUUCUUCUAAGGGACACCCUAGAGGCAGCAAGGUGAUGUGAACUCCAAACAUUUAAAGGCACUGUUCCCCUCCCUAGUGUAAUUGGGAUGGAAGGGGAAGACCACAUUACAACCCUUAAAGAACUACAGUUGUAUGAUGGCCUGGAUGACGAGACAAAUGUUCUCCUCAAGGAACCAUUCAUGUUACAGAGAGAUUAUAAGUUGUUCUAUUUGGAGGCAGUUGACAACAACAAAAUUACUGUCUUUCUCUCUUUUGAGGAGCAAAGCCAUUUUUGAGGAGUGGUCAAACUUUGUCUGCUGUGUUAAUUGUUUCAAUUGUUAAUUGUGUUAUGUUUAGUAAAGAUGACGUAGAAGUCACCCGAGUCUCUGAUCUCUUCACUGGAGCUGGUAUAACUUCAUGUACAAAGCACAUUCAGCUUGUCAGUAUGUCUAUAUGGUAUAGUCUGUCUCCAUUCUCAUGAGGAAAGUAAAUGACAUUAUAAAUCAGGAUGGGUAGUAACUGUGUAUGCUCAAUUAAAUAAUAUAAUUACAAAGUUAUAACAUUUAUCAACACAAUUCUAACAGUACAUAACAAGUCUGCUGUUCACUGCAACUAUCAGUAGUUUGUCUCAAAUAUAGCAUGAAGCAAAAAGUGUUACAUCUGCUGGUACUUUAUAUAAUAUUUCUUACAAUCUUCAAAAAUGAAAUAUGUUUGUAUUCAACGUGUGCCUUGCGCAAAUGUGUGUUACUGUCAAACAUCAGAUGGACAAAAAAAGGUGGGCAGGGUCAAAUGUGAGCAGAGUCAAACGUUUGACUCUGCCCACAUUGAACCCAGCCCCGAAUUGCACACUGCAGUCAGGGGUACUUGAUUUCUGCUCUUCACUCCAUUGUCAGUUUAGCCUACAUUUCACUGAUCAUAGGAGCAGAAAUGAUUUUUAUUUGUGUCCUUCAAGGCAGCUGUCAAUGAUCACGUUAGGCUGUUUCAUUUGAUUUGUUAUGGCGGUUUGAUCGCGGAGGAGACACUAGUAAUGUCUGCAGUUUUCGGGUUUGUCAUUUUGUUUCAAAUGUAUUAGUCUAAUAAUAAAUCUCUUCGCCAAAAUUCA